rnacentral:rRNA from 1 species
UACAGAGGUCUCAAGCGUUGUUCGGAUUCAUUGGGCGUAAGGGUGCGUAGGUGGCGCGGUAAGUCGGGUGUGAAAUUUCGGAGCUUAACUCCGAAACUGCAUUCGAUACUGCCGUGCUUGAGGACUGGAGAGGAGACUGGAAUUUACGGUGUAGCAGUGAAAUGCGUAGAGAUCGUAAGGAAGACCAGUGGCGAAGGCGGGUCUCUGGACAGUUCCUGACACUGAGGCACGAAGGCCAGGGGAGCAAACGGG